GCUCAGUCGGUUAAGCAUACAACUCUUGAUUUCAACUCAUGAGCUCGCAGCUUGUGGGUCCAAGCCCCACAUUGGGCU
rnacentral:tRNA from 1 species